ACGACCUAAGCCAAUUACAAAACACAUCUCUCAUGUUCAUGGACUCUAAAUUACAACAGGAUUACAGUAUUCAGUAGGUUUUAUACACUGGUCUUUCUUCUAUGAACUCAAUUCUCAGUUCUCAUUAUAUUAGUUUGGUCUCUUCCGGACAGCACAAACCUCUAGUCUGCAGUGAAGGAAAAAUGAAAGCGCCAAAUGCAACUGGGCAAUAUCAAGAGUUCUCUUUCAAAAAGACUCUUCACAAUGAACGAGAAUGAUACUGAAAAGGUGACUGUACUGAAUCAAAUCAUGGGUGUGGUUUAAGAUUAGAAUCUGGCAGAUAUAAUUUUAUGGCAAAAAAAAAAUCAUGAGAACGAGCUCUAUUUUUCUUGUUGUUGUAUAAACAUAUAAUAAGACAUGGCCCCUGAAGAGUUCUGAUCCUGCAAUUAAUCCCACGCAAUGGACUUCUGUGCCCAUAUGGAGCAUGACACGCAUGACCAGAAAGGGUUAAGCAUCCUGCAGAAUAAAUGACUCAUAUUCAACCCUUAAAAAUAAUGUUUUUGUUUUUGUGUAUUUACAUAUUUAUUGGGAGUGGUCAACAAUGUAAUCAAACAGUCCCUGUCUAUGCUGUAGUCUGUUAAUUCAGAGAUCAAAAGAACAUCUUAACAUUUAAAUUAACUCUAAACAUAGAAUAUCGCUGUAUUCAUCUCUCUCUCUUUGAAGUGUAUGGCAAAUCAUCUGCGAAUGGUGGAACGUUAAUCUGUUAGGAUAAUUACCAGCUACGCAUAGGAAGUGAGUCCACUUCAAAAUUCACAUGAGUGCCUAUUGUUCAGCUAAGGACUCCAACCUGUCAAAGAAAGCCUGGAAUUGUAUAAAAUACCUUUGGGUCCCAAUCCUUUUUAUUUCAGAUCUGCUUGAGGUUUCAUGCAGGGGAAGUCUAAGCCAUAAAGAUUGAGAUCCCAGUCCUAAACUGGAACACCCUGAAUAAGAUAUUGGACAAUGGACUAUAACCUAUGGACUAAAUUCUAAAGGAAUUCUUUGCAACUUCAAAGCUCACCAUCUCUGCUAUGAAUCUGAACCUCAAGAACUGAACUCAUAUCUGUAAAGCAGGAGAUCUGGGAACCACCUCUGGCUACUACUACUAGGAGACAGUCUGUACUGUCAGCUGUGUUUUGUUCCUGAAGGAGAGACCUAGCCCCUUGCCCGGUGAUUGACAGGUCUGAUCCUAUCUCUUCAACUUCACAGCAGAGGUAAAGCAUAAGAAGAGAGCCUAAACAAGGAAGAAUUUAUUUUAGUCACUAAAGUGAAAAGUUUACAGGUGUCCCGCAACAAUGCCCUGCUAGCCAACCAUUGUGAUGUUUUCCUUACAGCUCAUUCAUUACAGAAGGUAAUUUAUAAUGGAUGUGAUCACAUUUAUAGAAUGGAUGCGAUCAUGUUCACAGCAUGACCUGAAACAGUUCACAAUGAAGCCACAGUCGAGAUAAGAAGAAUUUCAAUGAACCUAUUAUACUGAGUAGGGACAAUAUAUAAUAUGGACUAGUGCUUUGAUGAAACAAUUAUUUUGUAGCAUAUUCUUUUGAUCAAUGCUUCUUUUUACACAAUGGAUAAUCUGAAUAAAAAUGCACAUUUGCUUUAAUAAA